CAGUUCGGAUUGUAGUCUGCAACCCGACUACAUGAAGCUGGAAUCGCUAGUAAUCGCGGAUCAGAAUGCCGCGGUGAAUACGUUCCCGGGUCUUGUACACACCGCCCGUCACACCAUGGGAGUCGGAAAUGCCCGAAGUCUGUGACCCAACCUGAGAGGGAGGGAGCAGCCGAAGGCAGGUCGGAUGACUGGGGUGAAGUCGUAACAAGGUAAC
rnacentral:rRNA from 1 species